ensembl:lncRNA
CCACGAAAGCUUAUGCUCCCAGUACUUCUGUUAGUCUCAAAGGUGCCACAGGACCAUCUGUUGCUUUUUACCUUCACAGAGAGCUAGCAGACGCUAGUUAAUCUUCACAACAACAAACCUGUGAGGUAGAUGAUUCUACACCAGCAGAUUCAACACCACCAGGAUAUGGAAGCAAAGCUUGUGGAAAAUAGAUCAGAAUGUUUAAGAGUGCAGGCGUUGCUCCACCAGCUGGAGGAGAAAUACCUUACUAGCUCCCAGUCCAUGCAGCAGCAUAUUGCCAAAGAACUUCGGGAGGAAGCUGAAAAAUUAAGACAGCAGCUCAAAGAAAAAGAACUUUCUGCUGAUGAGGAUAAAUAUUUACGCAACAAAAUGGCAGAAGAUUGUGGAUAUCUGACAAAAGAAAAUGGCUUCUUACAGUCUCAGGUUCUGGAAGCAGCCAGGCAGCUAGAUAGAGAGAGGCAGCUGAGAGAGGAGGAAAGCACCUGCCGUACAAGGAGGAUUUCUGAGCUAGCCUGUGAAAAGGAGAAAGAACGACAACUUGAGAUGGAGUUCACUUACGUGAAGAGACUAUUGCAGGAUGAAAGACAGAAGGCUCUUACUGCACAAGAGCAGGUACUACGUCUCCAGCAAGAAAGGAAAUCUGUAAAUCUAAAUGGACAGUCACUUCAGAGCCAGCUAAAAGAUUUAGAAAGGAGAUGGUCAAAAGCUCAACUGGAAAAUUCAAAACUGCGAACAGAAAAAACUCAUUUAGUAGAACAUAUUUCUCAGUUACAUAAACAGGUAAUUACAUUCACUGCUUCUUAAAAAAAAAAGGGGGGGGGGAGUAGGAAAAUUACCUUAGAAGUGAGUCACCCUCAUUAAUUAUAGAAAAAUAUGAAGUGGUAAUUUUAAACCACAUUUAGUUACAGACCGCCACAAUUCUUUUUUCAAGGCUUAUGUCAAAGUUAGUAAAAUAACUCCCAGCAUUUCUUAUUUACACUGGUGUAAAUCUGGAGUAUUGAGUGCAUGGCCUCUUAUUGUAAGCAAUGCAGGUAGCAACACCUGUAGUUACAAGAUAGGGUAUUAUGGAAACCUCCAGGCUGCUUUCAGUUGCUUAUAAUUUCACCAAACUAACAUUGUGGGUUUUCUGAUGGUGUGUACUCAAGCUGAAUUUUUUGGGGAACAUUUCAGCAAAACCAGCCCAAAUGCUUUUCAGAAUGAGGUUGGGAAACACCGCUGUAAAAAUUUAACAUGGGAAAAACAAAUUGUUUAGUUGAGAAGCUCUAGUGCCUCCAUGCUUUGCAGUAGGGACAUACAACCUGGCAAGGGCUGUGUCUCACCCUGUUAUCAGGGAUGUACUUGAAAUGUUUUGAAGACUGUCUAUAAAGUUUAAAUAAGGUUAGUUGUUCCUUGUGAUAAUAGGACACCUGUUUUCGUUUGAACCAAGCCAUUACCCAAAGCCAAAAAUCAGAUUUAUAAAUGCAACGUUAGCCCUUAUGGUUGCUGGGUUAUCAGUCUGUCACAACAUGUACACUAUGCAAUGUACCAACAGUAAUUGCCAUUACCAAAUCAGACCAGUGGUUAGUCUAGUCCAGUAUUUUUUCUCUCGCUUUGAGAUACUUCGAAAAGUACAAGAAAUCCAAGGAAGAAAGUCUGCUUCUAACAGGAUUUAUGGUUCAGACUUACUGAUAAGUAAGGCUCUAGUUUUCACAUCCCAUAUACAUUCCAUGCCCUUUUACCUCAUUCAAAAUAAAGAUCAAAUUCAAGGAAGAAGCUAGGCA